AGUGGGGUGGCCUAGUGGUUAGCGCUCUAAGUUUUGGAGAAACAGGUCUCGGGUUCGAUCCCCGCUGUGGCCA